rnacentral:rRNA from 1 species
UACGUAGGGGGCAAGCGUUGUCCGGAUUUAUUGGGCGUUAAAGAGCGUGUAGGCGGCCAUACAGGUCAGCUGUGAAACUCGAGGCUCAACCUCGAGACGUCGGUUGAAACCGUAUGGCUAGAGUCCGGAAGAGGAGAGUGGAAUUCCCGGUGUAGCGGUGAAAUGCGCAGAUAUCGGGAAGAACGACCCGUGGCGAAGGCGGCUCUCUGGGACGGUACUGACGCUGAGACGCGAAAGCGUGGGGAGCGAACAGG